rnacentral:rRNA from 1 species
CGGGAGUAACGCGUGGGUAACCGUGCCUCAUACAGGGGGAUAACAGUUAGAAAUGACUGCUAAUACCGCAUAGGCGCACAGUGCUGCAUGGCACAGUGUGAAAAACUCCGGUGGUAUGAGAUGGACCCGCGUCUGAUUAGCUAGUUGGUGGGGUAACGGCCUACCAAGGCGACGAUCAGUAGCCGGCCUGAGAGGGUGAACGGCCACAUUGGGACUGAGACACGGCCCAA